rnacentral:rRNA from 1 species
CUUGAAACACGGACCAAGGAGUUCUUCGUGUACGCGAGUCAUUGGGUAUUGAAAACCCAAAGGCGAAAUAAAAGUAAAAAAAGAGAGAAUUACUGAGGCAAAAAUUUUUUUUUGUUUAUCAUUUUUCUCUCGAGGGAAGAUGGAAAGAUUUAUCAAUUUAUUGAUUUUGAUUUCUAGCAUUCCCGGGGCGCUUGUUUUUUGCUUUGCAAGUCAAUGCGCACCUAGAGCGUACACGCUGAUACCCGAAAGAUGGUGAACUAUGCCUGGCCAGGACGAAGCCAGGGGAAACCCUGGUGGAGGUCCGCAGCGAUUCUGACGUGCAAAUCGAUCGUCGGAGCUGGGUAUAGGGGCGAAAGACCAAUCGAACCAUCUAGUAGCUGGUUCCCUCUGAAGUUUCCCUCAGGAUA